CCAUCUUGACUUUCACAGGACCCCGCCUGGGCACAGGGUUGACAUCCCCCUUCAUGAUCUGUGCUAAGUUGAUGGUCUUAGAGUCCACCAUGUCCUGGAUAACAUGCUUAAAAGCUCUACAGCCCUCAAUGCUAUGUCCGGGCAUCUCAGAAUGAAACACACAACUAGCAUUCUCAUCAUAGUUUGGAGGCCUAUUCUGCCGCUCUAUGGGAAUCAAUAUCCUCGGCCGUACCAAACCCAGAUCCAUCAACCUCUGGAACAGGAGGGCAUAAGUCACAGGUGGCUCCUCAAACUGACGUUCCUCCUUUUUCUUCUUCACCUGGCUCCUAACCCUUGGCGCCUUCUGUUGAGGUGGUGGUUGUUGCUGUUGAGCAGGUG
rnacentral:lncRNA from 1 species